UCCCUGGGACUCUCUACAGUGGAGCGCCCAGGGACCCUUUCAAGGGCGCCCCUAACACUGAGCUGCAAGGCAGGGGGUUAAAGGGGAAGCAGAGGUGCAGCGUGCAGGGAAGAAGGAGUUAGGGCGGAACUCAGCUGUGAGAACACAGCAGGUGGAGGCCACGGGGCCAGCACACGAGAGGCGCUGCCCUUUCCCCAGGGAAGACAGGCGAGGGGACAAGACCAGCAAGGGUGAGUCCGCUCCCCACUGCAGGGUCCGUGGUGGACCCCAUUUCGUCUCAAGGCCUGCCUCUGGGAGCCAUUCCGGUCUCCAAGCCUCCGCUGGGAGCGAAUUCUAAGAAUUGGCCAAAGGAAAAGCCCUGCAAAGGCUCGUAGCGUCCCAAGUCCUCGAGAGGAAUGCCUCAUUUCAACAUCUCAGCAAGUCUGGGAGGCCAUCCUCACCAUUUCAUAGGUGGGGCCGGUAAGGCGCGGGAAGCCUUACCACUCUGGAACCACCACCCCGGUCCCUCAGAGACAGAGGAAGGAUGCGAGGGGAAGUCUAGGCUCAUCUUGGCACUGCUUCCCCCAACUGCCAGGGAAGAGAGGCUUGAGCAGGCACCUGUCAUCUGUCUGCCAUAGCUCCAUCAAAGAGUAAUGUCUGGCCUGACCCCAAUGCCCAUCCAGGAUGACUGGAGGUGCUGCCCCAAGCACCAUCCUCUCCGAGUGCUCGGGGCUUCCCAAGAAUGUAACUAUGGUCGCAUAGCAAAAGUGAGCAAGGCUGCAGUGCAGCAGCCCAGAGAAAACACAACUGAACCUCAUCAAUCAAUUUCCAUCCCACCACCUUGACUUGACUGCAGGCUGCCUGGGAACCCCACACUUCUCCUCUCUUUCCAGAAGAAGCGGUCUCAGCGGAGUUGUUUCCUAACGUAGCACAUUUGUUGCAGACAGCUACAGAGAGCAAAAAUAUGCUAUGGGCCAUCCACUUAAAGGAAACAGGCACGGGUAUUGCUCAACCUGCCGAGUUCAGCCCUGGCUCAUGAACUCAGUUCCAUGCACUGCGUCUGCACUGGGGAUCCAUGUGCAGAGGGGCCAGAUCAAAACCCCGGACUCUGAAUACAUGGUCAGUGCACGAGAAAUGACUUCUCCCUACCAAUCGCCCUUCCUUACUCUUUCCUAUUCCCUGCUCCCCAAAUGCCUUCUAGUCUUGGCCGCAUUAAAUCUGUGAUUCUAGGCUGGGCGUGGUGGCUCACGCCUGCAAUCCCAGCACUUUGGGAGGCCGAGAUGGGCAGACCAGCUGAGGUCAGGAGUUUGAGACCAACCUGGCCAACAUGGUGAAACUCCGUCUCUACUAAAAAUACAAAAAUUAGCCAGGCAUGGUGGCAGGCAUCCAUAAUCCCAGCUUCUUGGGAGGCUGAGGCAGGAGAAUUGCUUGAACCUGGAAGACGGAGGUUGCAGUGAGCGAAGAUCGCACCACUGUACUCCAGCCUGGGCGACAAAGCGAGACUCUGUCUCAAAAAAUAAAAAUAAAUAAAUCUGCAAUUCUAACAUCCCCCACUCACUUCAUCCCACCCCAGCCCUCAUCCUCAGGGAAUCUUCUCUGUUCCUCUGAGAGAGUAAAAAUACUAAGGGUGGAGAGGAUUGGCCAGAGCCUCGGGGAAGGCCAGACCCCGUACUGACCCCCUCCUCAGGUGCUCCCUCAGCAACCUCUAACGUCAACAUCUCCUCUUCAUGGAACAGAUGAGACAACUGAGGCUCCGAGAGGUGAAGUCCUGUGUCUGGACUGGGCUGUGUGUUGGCGUGUGCCUUCCCACAAAUCCUGUGACCCACCUCACCACUCCAUGCUGCCCCAGAAACAUGGGGCAAUGAUUUGUACAGGAAUCCCAGCAAGCAGAGCUUCUUCUAGAACUAACCAGGAGCUCGGUGUCUUCCUCAGACACUCAUAGUCCUCUCGAGCAAUUCCCCAGGCUGGACUCUGACUCAAGCUUCAGACAUUAAGCACCUUUGAAAGGCUGGAAAGUCACAGUCUACUCAUAUGUCACCAGAAGGCCUGGGCAAAAAAAGGAGGUAGAGAAAUAACCCCGGGAAUGAAGCAGGGGUUCUGCCCUCCCAGGGCCUGAGAAUUAAAAACUGUUUCAAAUCCUUGUUUCGUUCCUCUAGGAAAAAUUAAAGAAUUAAGCGAGGGCCUGGAAAACAAGGCUAGCAGGAAGUCGGAGGAACUGACAAACAACUGGGAAGAUGAAGCUACCGAGGAUGGGCUGCAGGAGCCAAGAAGUUAGAAUCUGCAAGCCUGCGCCGAGUGCUCCAGUCAGCCAGCACUAGAUGAUUUACUGCUGAAUCCAGCCCCUCUAUGGACCAGCCUCCAAGUCACAUGGACCGUAAGGAAUGGUUUGAGACCAUCCCAAGAAAUAUUUGGGCAGCUCAAGAGAUGCAGAAACUGUUGCCCAUCCCCAUGUUUCAAGAACAAACAAGUAAAAGCUAAACCAGGGCCAAGCGCUCUGAGACUCGCUCCCCGCCACCCAGCCCUAGCCCAGUGUCCCCUGGACAGGGCUCAUGCCCUGCUGAGCCCCUGAUGCUGAAGUCAGGGGAGAAGGAGCCCGCCUCAUUGGCAGGGGUCAUUCCUCACUGUUCAGGCAGUAAACUAAGCCUUCUUGUCAUUUAUGGCUAUUUUGUCACCUUUACCAUUGUCAUCAGUGGCUGGCAAGAAUAUCCACGUGAGUUGAAGUUUACUGUCUGUCCUUUUAUUCUUCUGUCCUCUUUCUCUAUCUCAUAAUUAAAAAUUCCAUUUAACUGUUUUGUGUAUUUUGGCAGACACUGUUGGCUUCCUAUCCUAAAUUCUUCCCUACCUUCUUCCUGGAAAGCCUGGCUUUCCCUCUGGCUUUCUGGUUCAGGUGACUAUUCUUCCUCCACACAACUUGAGGAAGGGUAACCCUUUUCUCUCCCCAAAGGAAACCCUGAUGGACUAGGUCACCCUGUAAUCCCAUUCCCCUUGCCAGUGACUGGGCUGGGAAUGGGCAUUUGAUGCAAUUUUGGCCAACGGGCCAUGAAAGAGUGUGUACUCAUGUGUCUUCAAGAGACACAAAAGAACCAGGUCAGAGGACUUCUACUGCCUGCAAGUCUUGAAGUCUUAUUCCAAAGCAACAGUAAUUAAGACAGCAUGGGAAAGGCAAGAGGAAAGACAAAUAAGUCAAUAGAACAGGACAGAGUCCAGAAAUAGAUCUAUACAUAGAUAACCAAUUGACUUUUUUUUUAAAUUUUUGUGGGUACAUAGUAGGUGUAUAUAUUUAUGGGGUACAUGAGAUGUUUUGAUACAAGCAUGCAAUACGUAAUAAUCACAUCAUGGAAAAUGGAGUAUCCAUCCCCUCAAGCUUCAAGCAUUUAUCUUUUGUGUUACAAACAAUCCAAUUAUACUUUUAGUUAUUUUUGAAUAUACAGCUAUUAUUGACUACAGCCACCCUGUUGUGCUAUCAAAUACUACAGCCAAUUGAUUUUUUUUUUUUUUUUUUGAGAUGGAGUCUCACUCUGUUGCCCAGGCUGGAGUGCAGUGGCAUGAUCGCAGCUCAUUGCAACCUCUGCUUCCAGGGUUCAAGUGAUUCUCCUGCCUCAGCCUCCUGAGUAGCUGGGAUUACAGGUUCCUGCCACAUGCCCAGCUAAUUUUGUAUUUUUAGUGGAGACGGGGUUUCACCACGUUGGCCAGGCUGGUCUUGAACUCCUAACCUCAGGUGAUCCACCCACCUCAGCCUCCCAAAGUACUGCAAUUACAAGCGUGAGCCACCGUGCCUGGCCCAGCCAAUUGAUUUUUGAGGAAAGUGCCAAGGAGGAAAGGAAAGUCUUUUUCAACGAAUGGUGUUGAAUAUCUGUAUGGUAAAACAAUGAACCUGGGUCCCUGCCUCACACCAGACACAAAGACUAAUUGCAGAUGAUUUACAGGUCUCCAUGGAAAAGUGAAACUAGAAGGCAUCUAGGAAAAAAAAAAAAAAGACACAAGGAAGAAAGAAGUGGAGCCCCUCUUCUUCCACUUAGUGAUGUGAUGUCUGCAUAGGAGGGGAGGAACUGUACAGCCAUCCUGGAACCAUGAGGACACAGCCCAUGGACAGCAUGGAAAGAGAAACGAGCUUCAGAGUUGCCCUCCGUGUGGCUUUCUUGCUAUGUGAAAUGAUGCAUUUUCCUUCAUUGUUAAGCUAACUGCAUUGCAUUCUCCAUUACUUGCAGCCAAAAGCAUUCCCACUGAGACAUGCCUGUCCUUUUGUUUUUCCCUCCUAUGGUGUAGGGUUUUGCAUAACUAUUUACGUUCAGGCAAUAAACACAAAACCAUGAACAUUGACCUUCAUGUGGAAUUUAAGGAUUGCUAAACUUUUUUCUGUACCUAGAUUUCUCCUGUGUUGAUUUUGGAAUCCAACUCCUGGGGCAGGCGCUGAGGCACCCUGAGGAAAGGGCUGUGAUUGUCCAGUGCCAAAAGUGACCCACAAAGCAAAGUGUCUCCAAAGGACAGAGACCACAAUUGACUCAUUCUCAUUCAUACCCUUGAACCCAAGUACAGCAUCUGGAACACAGCAGGAGCUCAAUAAAUAAGUGUUGUAUGAAUGGAUGGAUAGAACAAGAAAAGUCCAGGCCCUUUCAUUCAUUGUAUUAUAAGCUUGCAAGCUUAAUUAGUACAAUUAAAAUACAUAAGCAAUA